AGAGUGUCUUGGUUUACCUGGGGCCUUGGGCCACCCUGGAUAGUCUAUGCUAACGAUGGGAUCUGUGGUGGGGGCCCUGGGCCACAUGGCAUCAGUUUGACUCUGGAGGGGCUGGAGACUGAGUAACUGAGGUCACCAUGUGUGUGACCUUGUCCAUGCCUGUGUGACCAGCCCCAGGAAAAACGCUGGACAUCAAGGCUCAGUGAUGCAGAAAACUGAGGCCCACAUGGAGG
rnacentral:lncRNA from 1 species